CCAGUUUUUGUGGAGGGAAGAUGCCUGUCCGCCGACCUUGUGGUUCUAGAUUUGAUAGAUUUUGACGUCAUUCUAGGGAUGGAUUGGCUAUCUACCCAUGGUGCUACCUUGGAUUGCAGAGACAAGGUAGUCAGGUUCAGAUGUCAGGAUGGGUCAGAGGUUGUCUUCAGAGGAGACAGAAGGGGUACACCUAGAGGUUUGAUAUCAGCCCUACAGGCUCGUAGGCUGCUCAGGAGAGG
rnacentral:lncRNA from 1 species